rnacentral:sRNA from 1 species
UGAAGCUCAGCAGGAAAAACACGGAAAAGAAGAUGAAAGAGAAGGAAGGGUACCUUUCAUUCUGGAGAAGUCACAAUAUCCCUUGUAAUCUCGAGGAGGCUUUAGCACCUCACCAGCAAGCCCUUCCCAUGAGUCCACCUCCAGGCAUGCCUUCCAAGCAGCUGAUAGAAACAGUGCAUUUCUACUAAAUAUGUUCCAGCUUCCUGUCUUGACUUCCCACAUAAUCAGUGAAUUAAAAGCACCUCCUCCUCAAAUGGCUUUUGGUGGUGGUUUAAUCCCAGCAACAGGAAUGCAGCUUGGAUAUCUGAAGCCUGCCAUUCUUUGAUGAAGAUCUACAAUGAAAAGAAGCAAGCUGAGCAAGGCAAAAUACAGAAUGUAAAGGGGCACCAGGAAGGAGAAUGGAGCUAAGUCCUGUAUUCAAAGAGGAUUGGUGUCACACAAAAGUUUUGCACCGUUGUGUUCCUAUGAGGUGAUGAGGCUAAUGAACUAACUAAAUGCUACAAGAACUCUCCUCUACAGUGUAUCAAUCCCUACUCUGGAUAGUCAGCUAGGAAAAGAUCUAAGUAGCAUAUCAAGUCUGAGUUGAGAAAUUCCCUUACAGAAGAAGCAAUGACCUGGCUGCAGUCACCUGAGUCAUGAGGUUCUGGAGAAGAGAACAGCAUUUACUCAAUGGACUGAAGAGAAAGGGGAUUUCCUUCAUGCCUAACUCUUGAAUCAGCUAGUGUUUGCUUAAGAUGAUGUAUGAGACAUGCACAAUUGUGUAGGCAAAAAGAAAACAGAAAUCAAACAAUAAAAUUUUCAAACAAGAACAAGUGUAUGAAGGGUAAUUCCACUGGUUUAUGUAAUUAAAACAUCUAGGUGUGCUCAGCUA